CUACGGGGGGCAGCAGUCGAGAAUCUUCGGCAAUGGGCGAAAGCCUGACCGAGCGACGCCGCGUGCGGGAUGAAGGCCUUCGGGUUGUAAACCGCUGUCAGAGGGGAGGAAAUCCUGGGGGGCUAUCCCCUCAGGUUGACCUAGCCUCAGAGGAAGGACGGGCUAAGUUCGUGCCAGCAGCCGCGGUAAGACGAACCGUCCAAACGUUAUUCGGAAUCACUGGGCUUAAAGGGUGCGUAGGCGGUCCGGCAAGUUGGGUGUGAAAGCCCUCGGCUCAACCGAGGAACUGCGCUCAAAACUGCCGGACUCGAGGGAGACAGAGGCGAGCGGAACUUAGGGUGGAGCGGUGAAAUGCGUUGAUAUCCUAAGGAACACCAGUAGCGAAAGCGGCUCGCUGGGUCUCUUCUGACGCUCAUACACGAAAGCUAGGGGAGCGAACGGGAUUAGAUACCCUCGUAGUC
rnacentral:rRNA from 1 species